GAGCCAACAAUGUCCACGUGUCAGACUCUGCAGAGAAGAUGUAGCUGGAAGAAGUCCUGGUGCCUGGACCAACAAAGAACACAUCACUCAGGUCACUGAGAUCAUUGUAUAGUCUCCUGACUGUCCCAUCAGAGCUGUAGUCACUUAGAGAGGGAGGAAGGCGCCUCAUGUGCGGGAUCAGCAGGUCUUGUUAGUGGGGGAAGGGGACGGUAAUUCCCAAGCCGCUUACCAGAGUUGGUUGUGCGCCCACGCACAACAAGAACAUCCGCUCCUGCCAUGCAGCCAAUUCCUAAGAUACAGGCAACUGCACCAAUGAAAUGUAAAACCUUAUAUCGCACCAGCAAGAAAAACCAGGACAGUAAUAUGACCACGGGGAUCACAAAACAAUUAAG